rnacentral:rRNA from 1 species
GUUCCUUGGAAAAGGACAGCUGAGAGGGUGACACUCCCGUCCGCCUGGUAGAGUGAGUCUUUGUCAACGAGUCGAGUUGUUUGGGAUUGCAGCUCUAAUUUGGUGGUAAAUUCCAUCUAAAGCUAAAUAUUGGUGGGAGACCGAUAGCGUACAAGUACCGUGAGGGAAAGAUGCAAAGAACUUUGAAAAGAGAGUUAAAGAGUACCUGAGAUUGCUGAAACGGAAGCGAAGGAAACCAGUGUUUGUUGGUUCAUAUUUCCCUUGUCACUUGUGAUGUGGGCGCUGUGAGCUUGCGUGGGUUUGCUUUGGUUGAUUCCUUUGGAAGAGCGCAGUCAGAGUUGAUGUCU